GACGAACGCUGGCGGCGUGCCUAAUACAUGCAAGUCGAGCGAAGCGGGGACGGGUGAGUCACACGUAAGGAACCUCCGAUAAGCGGGGGACAACAUCCGGAAACGGGUGCUAAAACGCAUACUUAUCGAUGGCCUUGCGGUGCAGUAGAUGGUUGUGGGGGUAACGGACUACCAAGGAAAUGGUGCCUAGCCGACAUGAGAGGGUGAUCGGCCACAUUGGGACUGAGACACGGCCCAAAGUCCUACGGGAUGCAGCAGUAGGGGAUCUUCCGCAAUGGGCGCAAGCCUGACGGAGCAACGCCGCGUGAGUGAAGAAGGUUUUCGGAUCGUAAAGCUCGGUUGUAAGGGAAGCGGUAUCUUACCAGAAAGCCACGGCUAACUACGUGCCAGCAGCCGCGGUAAUAC
rnacentral:rRNA from 1 species